rnacentral:rRNA from 1 species
CGAAAGCCUGACGGAGCAACGCCGCGUGUGGGAAGAAGGCUCUUGGGCUGUCAACCACUUUUCUCAGGGAAGAAGUCCUGACGGUACCUGAGGAAUAAGCAUCGGCUAACUCCGUGCCAGCAGCCGCGGUAAGACGGAGGAUGCAAGCGUUAUCCGGAAUUAUUGGGCGUAAAGCGUCCGCAGGCGGCUAAUUAAGUCUGCUGUCAAAGCCCACAGCUCAACUGUGGAUCGGCGGUGGAAACUGGUUAGCUUGAGUGCGGUAGGGGUAGAGGGAAUUCCCGGUGUAGCGGUGAAAUGCGUAGAGAUCGGGAAGAACAUCGGUGGCGAAAGCGCUCUACUGGACGGCAACUGACACUCAGGGACGAAAGCUAGGGGAGCG